ensembl:lncRNA
GUUCUGUUUGAGGGUUGGGGUUCUGUUUGAGGGUUUGGGUUCUGUUUUAGGGUUGGGGUUCUGUUUGAGGGUUGGGGUUCUGUUUAAGGGUUGGGGUUCUGUUUAAGGGUUGGGGUUCUGUUUUAGGGUUGGGGUUCUGUUUAGGGGUUGGGGUUCUGUUUGAGGUUUAGGGUUCUGUUUGAGGUUUGGGGUUCUGUUUUAGGGUUGGGGUUCUGUUUUAGGGUUGGGGUUCUGUUUUAGAGUUGAGUUCUGAAAAGCAGAUAAAUAUUCGUUCAACUAAUCAGCAUGUCAGUAAACUCUUGUCCACUAGGAACUCUUGUCCACUCGCAGAUCUGUCCCCUCACUUGUAACGUGGGACGGCAGAGAAGUGAUUAAUUCAUAUCUUUCCAUAUUUCUAUUUAAAGCCCCUGCUUUUUUGGUCCACAUGUCCGUUGGAUCAUUUGAUAAAUGUUGGUGAUAUUAAUGGUGUCCCCUCCAGUACAUACACAACGGUUUAUACUCACUACACAGUACUGUACUACACAGAGCUGCACUGUUCUAUGCUAUAUUAUAAAUACAUGUUGAGCGUUACAUAUGAUCU